GAGCCCUUCCCGAACGCCCUCAGCCGGCGUGCCCGGGCGAUACCUUCGCAACCCGAUCCGCGCGCGGGCCCCGGAUCCUACCUGCGCGCCCCUGCUCCAUUCGCCGUCCGGGCGCCCAAGCGGGAAGUGGGGGACCCCUGGGUGGCCCUUCCCUGGCCCGCGCCGCGCGGGGCUUUCCUGGGCGCGGAGACCCAGCCCGCCCCGGCUUCCUGCUCCCCGCCCCGGCGCCCGGCAGAUUUGCAUGCGCCGCCCCGCCCGGCGCGCCCGGCCCGGGUCCCGGCCACCUCGCGCCCCUGUCGCUGUCCCCGCCGCCGCCGCCGGACAGUCCGAGCCGCCGUCCUCUCCUGGGGGCGACCCCAGCACCUCGCUGGGUGUCUUGCCGCGCGCUUCCUCCCACGCCGUAGCCCGAGGUCACGCCCAGCGGAGAACUCUGCAGUGGAUCCCCUUGGUCUCGGAAUAAAACGCCCACGCCGACCAGGCCUCCAGGACCUGCUCCUGCCUGGCCUCCGCGGCCUCUUUUGCGCCGGGGCAGUUGCGUUUGGUGGGGGAGGGCUGGGCGACUGGAAUCCUCCUCCCCUUCCUAACAGCCCGGCUUCCAAGUGAGAGUGGUUGCACAUUCUUCAAUAAAUGUUUACCCAACUCCUACUCCAGCCACAUUUGGAUAGUAAAACAGCCCUUCAAUCAGUAACUAGUACAAUCUGUCGGGCACUGCAAA
ensembl:lncRNA novel transcript, antisense to IL4R